rnacentral:rRNA from 1 species
CUAAGCCCACGCGCAGACCGAGAUCAUAAAAUAUUAGAUGCAGAAUUUUGCGCCGCAAACGCGCGAGUAGAUUUACAGAAAUUUCAAAGGGAUUAAAUGAAAAGAUAUCUUUAUCUAGCCGUUAUAGCUAUGUUUUGCAUGGGCGGGGUUUUUGAAGACGCGGACAAGCUCUAUGAGGACGGCGAUUAUCCUAAAGCGAUAAAAAUGUGGCAGCGCAGCUGUGACGGUGGAGAUACGCGAAGUUGCUAUAGGCUUGGAAACUUAUAUCGAUUCGGCAGGAACGUCACUCAAAACUAUCAAAAAGCGGCGGAUUUUUAUCAAAAAGCCUGCGAUGACGGAGAUAUGACCGGCUGCUAUGAGCUUGCAGGACUAUACUUUGAAGGCUAUGGCGUUAGACAAGACUAUCAAAAGGCUGCGAGCCUGCACCAAAAGGCUUGUGACGGCGGCAAUAUGUUUUCGUGCAAUUUGCUUGUAAUUUCAUACGAAUCCGGUAUCGGCGUCCCAAGAGACAAGCACAAGGCUAUGGUUUUGCGUCAAAUGAUUUGCGAUAACGGUGAUGCAGAUAUGUGCAAUAACCUUGCAUAUUUAUAUAAAAACGGCGACAAGGUCAGACAGAACUUGCAAAAGGCGGAGAGCCUAUAUAAAAAAGCGGCUGUUUUGUACCAAAAGAAAGCUCAAAUAAAUCAAAAGAAAUGCGAUGAAGGCAGCCUAUAUGAGUGCCAGCGCCUAGCAGAUCUAUACUUGGACGGCAAAGGUGUAGAGCAGGACUUCAAAAAGGCUGCGGAUUUAUACCAAAAGGCUUGUGAUGGCGGCAGGGCGGCGGCGUGCUUGACUCUGGGAGACUUUUACAAAGCAGGUAAUUACCAAAAAGCAGAAAGCCUAUAUCAAAGCGGGCUAAAUUUGCUUAAAAAUACUUGCGAGAGCGGGGAUGCGGACUCGUGUAGUUAUCUCGGGGAUUUAUACAAAAAUGGAUGGCAUAUUAAACAAGAUAGAUCCUUAGCAAAAGAAUUUUACGGGAAAGCAUGCGAUUUAGCAGAGCAGAUCGGCUGCGACGAAUACAAGCAAUUAAACGAAGCAGAACUCAUCGAUAAUAAACACGGCAUCGCACCGAGCGCGCCUUAAUCCGUGAAGCUUGCAUGCUUUCGCGCAAACAAGGCUACGCAAUCAGCGAGCUAUCAAUUUUUUAGAAUUUUAAAAUCCCAACUUAGAUAUUUAAAAUUUAACAACCAAGAGGCGAAGAAAGACAAACAAAACUUUAAGAUAUCGGAUAAAUUCUUAAAUAUCUUAAGUUUUAAAUUUGAACAAAGCCGUAAGAAAAGUAUAAAUCAUUAAGUGCAAGUGGUAGGAGAGCGUUCCAAUCAGCGUUGAAGCCGUACCGGUAAGGAGCGGUGGAGCGGUUGGAAGUGAGCAUGCAGGCAUGAGUAGCGAUAAAAUACGUGAGAAUCGUAUUCGCCGUAAACCCAAGGUUUCCUACGCGAUGCUCGUCAUCGUAGGGUUAGUCGGGUCCUAAGCAAAGUCCGAAAGGGGUAUGCGAUGGAAAAUCGGUUAAUAUUCCGAUACCGAUAUCAGUGUGCGACGGAAGGACGCUUAAAGUUAGUGGAGCUAGCGGAUGGAAGUGCUAGUCUAAGGAAGUAGGUUGAGUUAUAGGCAAAUCCGUAACUCUUUAUCCGAGAUCUGAAAGGCUUCUGACGCUCUUCGGAGUAGAUGAAGAAUCCAUGAUACUAUCGAGCCGAGAAAAGUUUCUAAGUUUAGCUGAUAUCGCCCGUACCGUAAACCGACACAGGUGGGUGGGAUGAGUAUUCUAAGGCGCGUGGAAGAACUCUCUUUAAGGAACUCUGCAAAAUAGCACCGUAUCUUCGGUAUAAGGUGUGCCUAGCUUCGUUAAGAAUUUACUUCGUAAGCGAAGAAGGUUACAACAAAGAGUCCCUCCCGACUGUUUACCAUAAACACAGCACUCUGCUAACUCGUAAGAGGAUGUAUAGGGUGUGACGCCUGCCCGGUGCUCGAAGGUUAAUUGAUGAUGUUAGCUUAUGCAAAGCAUCUGAUCGAAGCCCGAGUAAACGGCGGCCGUAACUAUAACGGUCCUAAGGUAGCGAAAUUCCUUGUCGGUUAAAUACCGACCUGCAUGAAUGGCGUAACGAGAUGGGAGCUGUCUCAAAGAGGGAUCCAGUGAAAUUGUAGUGGAGGUGAAAAUUCCUCCUACCCGCGGCAAGACGGAAAGACCCCGUGAACCUUUACUAUAGCUUGACACUGCUACUUGGAUAAAGAUGCGCAGGAUAGGUGGGAGGCUUCGAUUCGUAGAUCUCGGUUUACGAUGAGCCAUUGUUGAGAUACCACUCUUCUUUAUUCGGGUAGCUAACUAGCCUAAGUUAUCCUUAGGUAGGACAAUGUCUGGUGGGUAGUUUGACUGGGGCGGUCGCCUCCCAAAAUGUAACGGAGGCUUACAAAGGUUGGCUCAAAGCGGUUGGAAAUCGCUUGCAGAGUAUAAAGGCAAAAGCCAGCUUAACUGCGAGACAUACACGUCGAGCAGAGACGAAAGUCGGUCUUAGUGAUCCGGUGGUUCUGUGUGGAAGGGCCAUCGCUCAAAGGAUAAAAGGUACCCCGGGGAUAACAGGCUGAUCUCCCCCAAGAGCUCACAUCGACGGGGAGGUUUGGCACCUCGAUGUCGGCUCAUCGCAUCCUGGGGCU